rnacentral:rRNA from 1 species
GAUGAACGCUAGCGGCAGGCUUAACACAUGCAAGUCGAGGGGUAGAAGUUGCUUGCAACUUUGAGACCGGCGCACGGGUGCGUAACGCGUAUGCAAUCUACCUUAUACAGAGGGAUAGCCCAGAGAAAUUUGGAUUAAUACCUCAUAGUAUAAUUGAAUGGCAUCAUUUAAUUAUUAAAGUUCCAACGGUAUAAGAUGAGCAUGCGUCCUAUUAGCUAGAUGGUAAGGUGACGGCUUACCAUGGCAACGAUAGGUAGGGGUCCUGAGAGGGAGAGCCCCCACACUGGUACUGAGACACGGACCAGACUCCUACGGGAGGCAGCAGUGAGGAAUAUUGGACAAUGGGCGCAAGCCUGAUCCAGCCAUGCCGCGUGCAGGAAGAAGCAUCUAUGGUGUGUAAACUGCUUUUGUACGGGAAGAAACACUCCUUCGUGAAGGAGCUUGACGGUACCGUAAGAAUAAGGAUCGGCUAACUCCGUGCCAGCAGCCGCGGUAAUAC